UGCCAGCCGCCGCGGUAACACGGGGGGCGCAAGCGUUAUUCGGAAUUAUUGGGCGUAAAGGGCGCGCAGGCGGUCUUGUCCGUCAGGUGUGAAAGCUCGGGGCUCAACCCCGGAAGUGCACUUGAAACAGCAAGACUUGAAUACGGUAGAGGAGAGAGGAAUUCCUGGUGUAGAGGUGAAAUUCGUAGAUAUCAGGAGGAACACCGAUGGCGAAGGCAUCUCUCUGGGUCUUAACUGACGCUGAGGCACGAAAGCCAGGGUAGCGAACGGGAUUAGAUA
rnacentral:rRNA from 1 species